GCGCCCCGCCCGGCUUCCCGGCUCUCACUUUCCUCCCACCCGGUUCGCGGCGCUCGGGGGCCAGGCAGGGAUGGAGCCGAGUUGCUCCAGCCGGGCCAGCCUGCCCCCACCUCUUCCAGGAAAAGUCAAGAAAGAGGAAGAGAAGAAACUAACCUGAAUGGAGUGCCUACAAUGUGUCAGGCUCUCUACUAUGUCCACUUGAGAGCUGAUCUGUCUUCAUCCUCUGGGAUGGGAGGCAGUGUGGUGUAAUGGCUAUGUGCCCCAGCCCUGGCGUCAGACAGACCUGUCUUCUCAUCAGGAUGCCGCGCACCCCUGGGCAACCUGUGUAACCUGUCAAAGCUUUGGCUUCCUCAAUGAGACAACAUCCACAAAGUACGUAGGAUUAGCCCAAAGAAAAGAGGAGUAAAACCAUGCCUAUUGUGAUACGCUGAUAGGAACAACCACGUGCUAGAAGACUGUUCCUGCAGGACAAGUUCAUACUAUACAAGUUCCAUUGCACGGAAAAUAUUCCCCCCGAGAGAAAGAAUGAAUCAAGAGUUCAAAAUUAGCUGAAUUUCAAAACAUUUCCCAGGAAGAAGACCUUCAGCGUUGCCCUGGCGGAACGGAGACAGGCCCUCUGGUUGGAGAUAUGUGUAACACACCGACUUACUGUGACCUAGGAAAGGCCGCCAAGGAUGUCUUCAAUAAAGGAUAUGGAUUUGGCAUGGUUAAAAUAGAUCUGAAAACCAAGUCCUGUACUGGAGUGGAAUUUUCUACUUCUGGUCAUGCUUACACUGAUACAGGGAAAGCGUCAGGCAACCUAGAGACCAAAUAUAAGGUCUGUAACUAUGGACUUACCUUCACCCAGAAAUGGAACACAGACAAUACUCUCGGAACAGAAAUUUCUUUGGAGAAUAAGUUGGCUGAAGGGUUGAAACUGACUCUUGAUACCAUAUUUGUACCGAACACAGGAAAGAAGAGUGGAAAAUUGAAGGCCUCUUAUAAACGGGAUUGUUUCAGUCUUGGCAGUAAUGUUGAUAUAGAUUUUUCUGGACCAACCAUCUAUGGCUAGGCUGUGUUAGCCUUUGAGGGUUGGCUUGCUGGCUAUCAGAUGAGUUUUGACACAGCCAAAUCCAAACUGUCACAGAAUAAUCUCGCCCUGGGUUAUAAGGCUGCAGACUUCUAGCUGCACACUCAUGUGAAUGAUGGCACUGAAUUUGGAGGGUCUAUCUACCAGAAGGUUAACGAGAAGACUGAAACGUCAAUAAAUCUUGCUUGGACGGCUGGCAGUAAUAAUACCCAUUUUGGCAUCACUGCUAAAUAUAAGCUGGAUUGUAGAACUUCUCUAUCUGCUAAAGUAAAUAAUGCCAGCCUGAUUGGACUGGGUUAUACUCAGACCCUUCAACCUGGUGUCAAACUGACCCUAUCAGCUUUAAUCGACGGAAAGAACUUCAAAGCAGGAGGUCACAAGGUUGGGUUGGGAUUUGAACUAGAAGCUUAAUGUGAUUUUGAGUAAAGCAUUCGAUUUGUCCCUGGAGGUGAAGAGAACCCACUAUGUUUUGGCCUUAAAAUUCUGCGAAAUUUCAAAA